UACAGAGGUCCCAAGCGUUGUUCGGAUUCACUGGGCGUAAAGGGUGCGUAGGCGGUCGGGUAAGUCUGAUGUGAAAUCUAUGGGCUCAACCCAUAGCCUGCAUCGGAAACUGUCGGGCUUGAGUAUGGGAGAGGUGAGUGGAAUUUCCGGUGUAGCGGUGAAAUGCGUAGAUAUCAAGAGGAACACCUGAGGUGAAGACGGGUUGCUGGGCCGACACUGACGCUGACAGCGCGAAAGCCAGGGGAGCAAACGGG
rnacentral:rRNA from 1 species